rnacentral:rRNA from 1 species
GAUGAACGCUAGCGGCAGGCUUAAUACAUGCAAGGCGAAGGGGCAGCAAUGUCACUGUCGUACGGGUGCGUAACGCGUAUGCAACCUACCUAUCACUGGGGGAUAGCCCGGGGAAACCCGGAUUAAUACCGCAUAAAACAGGGGCACCGCAUGGUGAUAUUUGUUAAAGAUUUAUUGGUGAUAGUUGGGCAUGCGUUCGAUUAGCUAGUUGGCGGGGUAACGGCCCACCAAGGCGACGAUCGAUAGGGGAGCUGAGAGGUUGAUCCCCCACACGGGCACUGGGAUACGGGCCCGACUCCUACGGGAGGCAGCAGUAGGGAAUAUUGGGCAAUGGAUGCAAGUCUGACCCAGCCAUGCCGCGUGCCGGAUGAAGGCCCUCAGGGUUGUAAACGGCUUUUAUUCGGGGAGAAGAGCAGGGAUGCGUCCUUGUGUGACGGUACCGAAUGAAUAAGCACCGGCUAACUCCGUGCCAGCCGCCGCGGUAA